CCUCCGCUACCAGUCGUGCCCCCCCCCCCCCCCCCCCCCCCCCCGUCGCCUCAUACCGCUCUGCAACCCGCACAUCAUCUGCUGCCCCUAUGGCUGCCACGCGUGAGUGCCCUAGUGAAGUCGACCACCCUUUCCCCACCGCCUUUGGUCGUAUCCCUCUGCCCUGCCUCUCCGCCAGGCCUCUAUUGCCCCCUCCUCCGACGCCUGCAGUGGAAGGUAAGGAGAAGGACGGCGGUAGCCGGAUCUGGUGAGCACGCGACUGCACCCCGCCUGUGGCCAGGCGGCGCCCGGAUUCGCGUCGCUUUGCAACCCCCCGCGAGUAGGUCUAUUCCAGGGACAAUCGGAUGGCUGCGCAUCGCCUGGAGGCUGGUUGUUGGUCAGGAGCUUGAAGUUUUAACUGGAAUGGAGUCAAUCUGUUUAGCUUAGCUCUUCAGGAACUCCUAAACGUUUCUCAACUGGAAGGAUUAAUUAAUAUCUAGAAUUUGAUGUGGUUGUGUAUGUUGUACUUUAUAUUUUGGCAUACUAUGCACAAAAACAAAUGCCUUCUAUGAUCAUCGUGAUUCAUACAUUUUCAAACAAAAAUUUACGAUA